rnacentral:rRNA from 1 species
GUUUCCGUAGGUGAACCUGCGGAAGGAUCUUA